UACGGAGGGUGCAAGCGUUACUCGGAAUCACUGGGCGUAAAGGGCGCUUAGGCGGCCUAGCAAGUCUGGUGUGAAAGCCCAGGGCUCAACCCUGGAAGGGCACUGGAAACUGUUAGGCUUGAGUUCCGGAGAGGAGGGGGGAAUUCCCGGUGUAGCGGUGAAAUGCGUAGAUAUCGGGAGGAAUACCGGUGGCGAAGGAGCCCCUCUGGACGGAAAAUGACGCUGAGGUGCGAAAGCGUGGGGAGCAAACAGG
rnacentral:rRNA from 1 species